rnacentral:rRNA from 1 species
AAAUUGAAGAGUUUGAUCAUGGCUCAGAUUGAACGCUGGCGGCAGGCCUAACACAUGCAAGUCGAACGGUAACAGGAAGCAGCUUGCUGCUUCGCUGACGAGUGGCGGACGGGUGAGUAAUGUCUGGGAAACUGCCUGAUGGAGGGGGAUAACUACUGGAAACGGUAGCUAAUACCGCAUAAUGUCGCAAGACCAAAGAGGGGGACCUUCGGGCCUCUUGCCAUCGGAUGUGCCCAGAUGGGAUUAGCUUGUUGGUGGGGUAACGGCUCACCAAGGCGACGAUCCCUAGCUGGUCUGAGAGGAUGACCAGCCACACUGGAACUGAGACACGGUCCAGACUCCUACGGGAGGCAGCAGUGGGGAAUAUUGCACAAUGGGCGCAAGCCUGAUGCAGCCAUGCCGCGUGUAUGAAGAAGGCCUUCGGGUUGUAAAGUACUUUCAGCGGGGAGGAAGGGAGUAAAGUUAAUACCUUUGCUCAUUGACGUUACCCGCAGAAGAAGCACCGGCUAACUCCGUGCCAGCAGCCGCGGUAAUACGGAGGGUGCAAGCGUUAAUCGGAAUUACUGGGCGUAAAGCGCACGCAGGCGGUUUGUUAAGUCAGAUGUGAAAUCCCCGGGCUCAAC